UACGGGGGGGGGCUAGCGUUGUUCGGAAUUACUGGGCGUAAAGCGCACGUAGGCGGCUUUGUAAGUUAGAGGUGAAAGCCCGGGGCUCAACUCCGGAAUUGCCUUUAAGACUGCAUCGCUAGAAUUGUGGAGAGGUAAGUGGAAUUCCGAGUGUAGAGGUGAAAUUCGUAGAUAUUCGGAAGAACACCAGUGGCGAAGGCGACUUACUGGACACAUAUUGACGCUGAGGUGCGAAAGCGUGGGGAGCAAACAGG
rnacentral:rRNA from 1 species